AGUGAACGCUGGCGGUAGGCCUAACACAUGCAAGUCGAACGGCAGCACAGGAGAGCUUACUCUCUGGGUGGCGAGUGGCGGACGGGUGAGGAAUACAUCGGAAUCUACUCUGUCGUGGGGGAUAACGUAGGGAAACCUACGCUAAUACCGCAUACGACCUACGGGUGAAAGCAGGGGAUCUUCGGACCUUGCGCGAUUGAAUGAGCCGAUGUCGGAUUAGCUAGCUGGCGGGGUAAAGGCCCACCAAGGCGACGAUCCGUAGCUGGUCUGAGAGGAUCAUCAGCCACACUGGAUCUGCGACACGGUCCAGACUCCUACGGGAGGCAGCAGUGGGGAAUAUUGGACAAUGGGCGGAAGGCUGACUCAGCCAUGCCGCGUGGGUGAAGAAGGGCUUCGGGUUGUAAAGCCCGUUUGUUGGGAAAGAAAUCCAGCUGGCUAAUACCCGGUUGGGAUGACGGUACCCAAAGAAUAAGCACCAGCUAACUUCGUGGCAGCCGCCGCAGUAA
rnacentral:rRNA from 1 species